rnacentral:lncRNA from 1 species
UAAACCCCUUUUAUUUUCGCGUCGAUUGAUGUCUAUUACCUCACCUUUAAAGCCUAGUUCAUAUUUCUUGUAAGAACAGAGAUUUUUUUUCUAUAUAUAUUUUACAUCUUUUUUAAUGUUAUUGUGUGUAUUUUAAUUUUAAUCUUACCCGUCAAAUUUUAGCGAAAAAGAAUUUAAAAUAAAGUUUUUACGCGAUUAUUAUACUUAGGGUGCGUUUGGUUCGAGUUAUCCUAAUAGGAUUACAGGCAAUUCUGUGAGGAUUACUAUGUUUGGUUCAUCCGCUAUUUAAUUUAGUCGUCAAUGUAGCAUUACAAAUCGAGUAGGAUUAUACCGAAAAUAUUAACAAGAGGGGGGGCGUGUAUCUUGCAUUACUGAAAAUCGGUAAUACUACAUAAUAUGUAAAAUGAUAAUUUUAUCCUGUAACUCUUGAAACCCUUUCAAUACGUUACUUUAAAAAAUUUAAUUUAAAAUUUUGAAUUGUCAACUAUUAAUUUUUAAUUUUUAAUUUUUAAUUUUUAAAUUUAAAUUUAAAUUUUUAAUUUUUAAUUUUUAAAUUCUUAAACUUAAAAUUUAAAUUUUAAAUUUUAAAUUUAAAUUAAAAUAUUAGAUUUUAAAUUAUAAGUUUUAAAUUUUAAAUUAUAAAUUUCAAAUUUCAAAUUUCUUAGAUUUCAAAUUUCAAAUUUUAAAUUUCAAAUUUAAAAUUUUAAAUUUUAAAAUACAAAUUUGUAUUUUAAAUUCUGAAUUUUAAAUUUAGAUUUUAAUUUUUUAUUUUAUAUAUAAUCAUCCGGAAGCCUAGAAACCAGCUACAUCUACGAUGGCUCUGCAAAAGAUGAAGUAACAACAGGGCGUGAGAACUACUGUAAAAACAAGUAGUCCUCAGUGGGUACCGCCCAAAACAAUAUCGGUCCACCCACUAAGUCUACAGAAGGGAGCAAGGAUAGUAGUAAAUGCAGGAAUACAAUCUACCGCUAUCAAACACUACACUAUCAUGCUCUACACUAACCAACUGUAGGAAAUGUCCAAUCUGACCCAAUCCAAUCGGGACUGUAAGUAUACCCGUCCCCGGGACUGUGAAUACACCCGUCCCUGCCCCGUUGCGACUAUCGGGCUCUAUCCACACUAACUGGUCCGUGGAGAGCAAGUCCAACUGGCAUGAGCGACACCAACGCGAAAACACAUAGCCUAACUCCGGAGUGGCACUCGUGGGCGCUACCCAACCGAGUAUGCCGCGUGUCUCUGUCGAGCUCAAUCAGGCUCCAACUAGCCAAAGUCAAGUGAACAGGGUCAAAACAGGUCUACAAACCAAACCCACGUGCCCUCGGCACAAUCUGUGACCAAAACAAGAAUCUGGGUCCACCGCUAAUCCGAACGGCACCCAACGACCCGAAACAGCCUAAAUUCUGCUAAAAAAUAAGCUCGGCAUCCCAGCACGAGCGUAAAUGCCUUCUAAACUACCCCAGGUAUCCAUCACACUGAUGCUGCAACGAUACAAUCGAAUCACGGCUCCUAGAGCUAAAUCUGGUAGUUUAAGCAUAUGACGGGUUAAAACGCAGGUUUUCUCCUAAGUCAAAUUUCAAGUCCAACAUGUAUAAUAUAAAUAUUCAUUUCAGCAUGCUUCUACAUUUAUAUUACAUUCAAAAUGCUAAUCGAUGAAUUAAAGCAUGAUAUACAAAAAUCGAACUAUACACGCCGACUAUACAUGCACUUAGGAGCGAAACCGAUGAUACACCCACCUCAAGUGCAAUUCCUGGCAGCAAGAGGGUCUCAGAUCACAAGCAACACUGCUGAAAACACCUCCAAACCAGCAACAAAGCCCCUCAAAAUCUGGAUAUUACAAUUCACCCAAAAUCCAAUAAAAACCAUCAAUUUCAGCACUUAAGCUUAGGAUUUAUCCAAUUUCAAUGUCAAAACUCACCUAAUGAUCUCCAAAUCAGGUGAGGAUAGUACCAAAUCCAACAAAUACUGAGGGGUGAUCAAACUCAGCUCCAAAAUCCCACUGCCUACAAAGUUAGCAUCAAGAAAAGCUCAAAAAUCCCAUUUUCAGCUCAAUGUCAACAGCAGUCCAGAAAAAUCUCAGUUCGACCAAGCUAAUCUCAUCCAAAAUCUACAAUUCAGGACUUUGUGGAUUCCUCUGGAAGUCUAGAAUCCAGCAAACCAAGUUUCGCCGAAAUCCGACCUUCCUACGUCGCGCACGAGCCAAAACACUGGAGGUCGUCGCUGAAGAACUGCAGAAUCAGCACCUUGAAAUUCUUGGAGAAGUGGAUCUUGAUGCAAAUUGGAAAUAUUGGAGGGAUUGGAAAUGCAAUUUAUGGGUUCCCUGUGAAGAAGAGAGGAAAAGAGCUCACCAGGGACGCUUCUCAGCUAUUUAUAGGGUGAAAAUAGGGUCAGAUGAACCUUAGGAACAAAGGCUGCAAUCUGCUGUCCCUGCAGAAAAUCCGAGAUCUGGGCGCCCUAAACUCAGUUCUGGGCGCCCAGAACUUCCAGCCUGCACAAAACAGCCCUCAUCGGUUCCUUCGCUUGCGGUAUGCUGCACCCUUAUCCUGCUCCAGCGGCCCACACCUACCACCAGCCACGCGUCAACACGAUCGAUAUUCACGAUGUAGAAUUUCCGGACCCACUUAUGGGCGCCCGGAACAUAGGAUCCGAAUUAGCUUCCAGUUUUAGUUAAAUUCAGCACUCAGUACUGGGCGACCUAAAACCAUUUCUGGGUGCCCUAAACUUCUGGGCGCCCUAAAUCCAGUUCUGGGCGCCCUAAACUAGCAAAACUCCAGUUUUGCUUAUUUGAGUGCGCCGAGUCCAUUUCUGCAUCCAUUUCGCGCAGAAACAACUCCGACUCAGUCCGACACUCUCCAGAAGCGUCGACCAGUCACUAAUACUGAAGCCAAUCNAUUUUUGUUAAAAUUUAAAAUUUAAAAUUAAAUUUAAAAUUUUAAAAAUUAAAUUAUUUAAAAUAAAAUUUGGUAAAAAAAUAUUGUUUGUAAACAGUAAAAAAAACAUUUACGAAAUAUGACUAAGGGUAAUUUUGGAAUAGACUAUAGUUUAUUGUCUAGAUUACUAAAUUUGAUAGACAGAACCAAACAUAGUAACGCUAUAAACAUUGCAAUCCAGCAGUACAUUGUAAUUAACCAAAUGCAGUAAUGCAGCACCUGUAGUAAUCUUAUUUAGAAAUCCAAGAUACCUGGAUAUAUCGAAAUACUCUGAAAUAUUAUAUAACUCAAACCAAACGUGCCCUUAAAGUGAAUAGUAACUUGUGUUUCCGAAUGCGACUGAGGAAAAUGGUUGGCUUCGGAU